AUUGAACGCUGGCGGCAGGCCUAACACAUGCAAGUCGAACGGUAACAGGAAGAAGCUUGCUUCUUUGCUGACGAGUGGCGGACGGGUGAGUAAUGUCUGGGAAACUGCCUGAUGGAGGGGGAUAACUACUGGAAACGGUAGCUAAUACCGCAUAACGUCGCAAGACCAAAGAGGGGGACCUUCGGGCCUCUUGCCAUCGGAUGUGCCCAGAUGGGAUUAGCUAGUAGGUGGGGUAACGGCUCACCUAGGCGACGAUCCCUAGCUGGUCUGAGAGGAUGACCAGCCACACUGGAACUGAGACACGGUCCAGACUCCUACGGGAGGCAGCAGUGGGGAAUAUUGCACAAUGGGCGAAAGCCUGAUGCAGCCAUGCCGCGUGUAUGAAGAAGGCCUUCGGGUUGUAAAGUACUUUCAGCGGGGAGGAAGGGAGUAAAGUUAAUACCCUUGCUCAUUGACGUUACCCGCAGAAGAAGCACCGGCUAACUCCGUG
rnacentral:rRNA from 1 species